rnacentral:rRNA from 2 species
GGCUUUUCGUUAAUUAACAGAUGGGAAGUCGUACCUGCUCGGUGGUUUGGUGUACAGACUUAACAGCGGCAGUAAUACGUCCGAAGGUAGCAUAAUUCCCAGCCUUUUAAUUGUAGGCAGUUGGUGAACGGUUUGACGAUGGUCUCACUGUCUCAGGGCUAUUGGGCUGAAUUUGAUUUCUGGGUGAAGAAGCCUAGAUUACUGAAAGGGACGAUAAGACCCUAUAAAACUUUAACUCAGGCGGAGUAACUUAAUUAAGGCGGUAAAGGGUUUUGGCUGGGGCAGCAGGUUGACCAGUUUAAAUCAUCAAGGUUUUUUGAAACGGUCAAGUUAUGAUCCACUUUUUAUGUAGGUGAUUAUCGGAUUUAGUUACUUUAGGGAUAACAGCAUCAUCUGCCUUGAGAGACCGUAUUGAUAGGCGGGAUUGUGACCUCGAUGUUGGCUUAACGUAUCCUUUGGGUUUGGCAGGAGCCCAUGAGGGUUGGAUUGUUCAUCCAUUAAAGCGUUACA